rnacentral:rRNA from 1 species
UCCGUAGGGGGCGAGCGUUACCCGGAUUUACUGGGCGUAAAGAGCGUGUAGGCGGCUGGCCAAGCGUGAUGUGAAAUCUUCGGGCUUAACCCGAAAACUGCAUUGCGAACUGGUCUGGCUAGAGUGUGUGAGAGGGUAGUGGAAUUCCCGGUGUAGCGGUGAAAUGCGUAGAGAUCGGCAGGAACACCCAGGGGGAAACCAGCCGACUGGGCAUUUGCUGACGCUGAGGUGCGAGAGCGUGGGGAGCGAACCGG